CAUUUAUUUACUCUGGGACAGAAUGACUGUACUUUUAAUUGUGAUCUUGAAGGUUGUAUAAAAUCAGACAAUGAUCAUCGUAUGAUAGAUAAUGCAGUGGACAUUUUCUGUACAAAGGAAGACAUCUCAAAUAAUAUUGCUUUCACAUUGAGAGAACAUGAAGCCAAAAGUUUUAUAUAUCAUGCUUCUUUACAAACUAAUUUUACACCACC